rnacentral:rRNA from 1 species
AUACGUAUGGAGCAAGCGUUAUCCGGAUUUACUGGGUGUAAAGGGAGCGUAGACGGCAUAGCAAGUCUGAAGUGAAAUCCCAUGGCUUAACCAUGGAACUGCUUUGGAAACUGCCAGGCUAGAGUGCAGGAGAGGUAAGCGGAAUUCCUAGUGUAGCGGUGAAAUGCGUAGAUAUUAGGAGGAACACCAGUGGCGAAGGCGGCUUACUGGACUGUAACUGACGUUGAGGCUCGAAAGCGUGGGGAGCAAACAGGAUUAGAUACCCUGGUAGUCCACGCUGUAAACGAUGAUUACUAGGUGUUGGGGACCAAAGGUCCUCGGUGCCGCCGCAAACGCAUUAAGUAAUCCACCUGGGGAGUACGUUCGCAAGAAUGAAACUUAAAGGAAUUGACGGGG